CGAACGGCUGAGUAACACGUGGGCAACCUGCCCUUUGCACUGGGAUAGCCUCGGGAAACCGAGGUUAAUACCGGAUACUCCAUAUUUGUCGCAUGGCGAAUAUGGGAAAGCUCCGGCGGCAAAGGAUGGGCCCGCGGCCUGUUAGCUAGUUGGUGGGGUAGUGGCCUACCAAGGCAAUGAUGGGUAGCCGGGUUGAGAGACCGACCGGCCAGAUUGGGACUGAGACACGGCCCAGACUCCUACGGGAGGCAGCAGAU
rnacentral:rRNA from 1 species